UACGGAGGAUCCAAGCGUUAUCCGGAUUUAUUGGGUUUAAAGGGUGCGUAGGCGGAUUGAUAAGUUAGAGGUGAAAUGUCCGAGCUCAACUCGGGAACUGCCUCUAAUACUGUUGAUCUAGAGAGUAGAUGCGGUAGGCGGAAUGUAUGGUGUAGCGGUGAAAAGCUUAGAGAUCAUACAGAACACCGAUUGCGAAGGCAGCUUACCAAUCUAUAUCUGACGUUGAGGCACGAAAGCGUGGGGAGCAAACAGG
rnacentral:rRNA from 1 species